rnacentral:lncRNA from 1 species
AGUCCACCACGUAAGGACACAGCAAGAAGGCACCAUCUAUGAACCAGGAAGCAAAACAGUCCUCAUCAGGCACCAAUCUGCUGGCACCUUGAUCUCGGACUUCCCAGCCUCCAGAACUGUGAGCAAUAAAUUUGUUGUUUUUAAGCCGCCCAGUCUGUGAUGUUUUGUUUUAGCAUCCCAGACUAAGUAAGGGUUUAAAAGAGGUGAUUAAGUUAAAAUGAGGUCAUCAGGGUGCACCCCAGUCCGACAUAGCUGAUGUCCUUAUAAGAAGAGGAAAUUAGGACACAGACAUAUGCCAUGUGAAGACGCAGGGAGAAUGUGACAUCUGCAAGCCAAGGAGAGAGGCUGCAGGAGAAACCAGCUCUGCUGACACUUUGAUCUCAAGCUCUGGCCACCAGAACUGUGAGCAAAUAAGUGUCUGUUGUUUAGGGCACCCUGUCCAUGGCACCUUGCUCCGAUAGCCCCAGGAAACGAAUCCACAGAGGAGGAAGCCGAGGUUGGGAAAGGUGGAGGGACUUGCCCAAGUCACACAAACGACAACUCAGCAGAGCUGAGAAUUGGCACCCAGGGCAACUGGAGUCCAUCCUGAGCUUGUCACUGCUGGGCUCUGAGACCUCCUGGUGAAGAAGGACAGUGGCAGAGACAGCCCGACCCAGAGAAACCCAGCAACGCUACUUUCUAAGGGCAUUUUUCCCUCUCAUUUGGAAUCCUGAGCCUCCUGCUCGUCCUGUAGGCCACACCCAGCAAACAGGGCCACACAGAGCAUCUAUUUUCUUUCUGGAACAUCAGAGCUGGCUGGGAACUGGGAGAAGAGCUGGAGCAACAGCCUGCAUCCAUUUCCUCUUGCUGCAAUAACAACUGAUCACAAGAUGGAGUCUCACUCUGUCAACCAGGCUGGAGUGCACUGGCGCAAUCUCGGCUCACUGCAGUCACCUCCUCUCAGGUUCAAGUGAUUCUCCUGCCUCUGCCUCCUGAGUAGCUGGGAUUACAGGUGCAUGCCACCACGCUCUGCUAAUUUUUGUAUUUUUAGUAGAGACGGGGUUUCACCGUGUUGGCCAGGCUGGUCUGGAACUCCUGACCUCAGGUGAUCCGGCUGCCUCAGCCUCCCAAAGUACUGGGAUUACAGGCAUGAGCCACCACACCUUGCCACAAAUGUGGUUUUUAAAUGUGGUUUUUAAAAAUAUCUUGAUAGCCAUA